ACGGGCAAAAGAUAGUGGGGAGGGGAGAGCAUGAUUUUAUUUUCUCUCAAGUAGCCAGGCUUUCUCCUGAUUUGAAAAACUGUUAACUCCCCCUAAGAGGGAACAGUCUCAUAGCCAGGAAUAGCAUGGGUGGGGCAUUGCACAGAAAGACAGAUGGUUGCUCUCUAGGCUGCAACUUGCACCAGGCACAAUGCUGUGGCUCAGAGUCAUGCACAUUUCCUGAAUUUGCUCUCACCUUCCCUGAUAUUUAUGUGAAUUUGAUCAAGGAAUUUUAAGAAUACAAGGUAAGUCUUGAGCCUCAGCACAAACUCAAAGUGCAAAAGAAGAUUUUCCUCUAGAAACAAAAAACAUUGACAAGUUCAGUGUAUCUUGCAAGAUCUAUCAGCUAGGACAUGAUCCAUGAUCCAUAUUUCAUCAGUCAUUUACAUCAACCCACGUAGACCCAGGAGUUAAUGAUGUCAAGAAUCAGAAACCUUGUAGGAAUCUGUCUCUGGAAGCAGAAGUAGUUACAGCCAGACUGAGUUCCUGGCUCAACAGCUGGGACCAUGCAAAAUCAGCUGUUUCAUGGCAGCAGGAGUAGUUUCCUUGCCAGAGCAG